GGUCACCUGAGCUCCAUUCCCUAUUUCCGAAUUCUCCAGACCUUCAGAGUUGCCGGAGACAUGGGAGAGAGUAGCUCAAUCAACCCCGUCAAUUUCGUAGCUUCUUGCAUCGAACAUCUUCACGUUCAUCUCUGAAUUUUUGGGCAUUCAACUUUUAUUGGAUUUAUCGAGUAUAGUCACUCUCGCAUAGAGCUUGGCCGGCGAGGGCAUCUUCGGCAAUCGGCAUACCCUUCACACCGGGCGGCGGAACGUUAAGCACCACCCAAUUGGUUCACGGCACAACCGGGUCCUUAGGAUCUGGAGCAUCUACGUCCUGAACCCCAAGGACUGAAAUGCUCUGUGUUUAAGGGCCGGUCAGAUUGUUCUCGGAAAUUUCCAGGUUUUGAGUUUGGUGAAGAAAUGGUGGUUGUUGGGGAGUUAGCGGGAGGGGCUGUUCUUGGAACAGCACUCAGCUUGCUGCGUGCGGCUUUUAUAGACGUGAUUAAGAAGAUUUGCGUCCAUCCAACCCACUUGAAGAGGUGUGCUUCUUCAUAUGGUCAUGUGAUUGAACUAAAUUUUCAUAGGCUGAUGAAGGUUAACUUAUGCAUAUGCCUGUUUUUGUCUUAGCAUUUCAUAAAACAUCUUCUAUUCACCUUUAAGAAAUUCAACUAUCUUUUGACUUGCAAUCAGAAAAGAGAAACAUUAUAUAGACAAUCUACAUUUAGCAAG